rnacentral:lncRNA from 1 species
AUGAGGAGAACAGUUGAGUUCAUAUCAGGAAAGCCAGAGCAACAAGCUUUUCCAGGAGAAUCAACAGCACACCAUUUUCUCCUCCAGUUCUAUUUUUAUGCUGUUGGCAACAUUCCUUGGGAGGGUUGUCUGCUCAGUUCCCCUCCACUCUCCAACCAAGGCUGGCUCUCAACAGCUGCUCAAGUUUGGGCCACUCCUUACACAGCCGGUUCCUCAUGCUGCUGGACCACCUCUACUGGCGUGAAUUCCUGUUCCCCACCAUUGAGCACCUUGCUAACAGAAUCAAAACAGUCUCAGGCUUUAGACUUGGAAAUAUUUACCUAUUAGAAUACACCAUCUAGAAGAGUCCAAUAAAACUGUAGUUUGCAUUUGGAAACCUCAA